UACUGCAUCAGGAACUGAUUGGAUAAUAUUCAGGCACCAUCAGUUCCUAAUGCAUUGCC
rnacentral:pre_miRNA from 1 species